rnacentral:rRNA from 1 species
CCUACGGGGGGCUGCAGUGGGGAAUAUUGCACAAUGGGCGCAAGCCUGAUGCAGCCAUGCCGCGUGUGUGAAGAAGGCCUUCGGGUUGUAAAGCACUUUCAGCGGGGAGGAAGGCGUUAAGGUUAAUAACCUUGUCGAUUGACGUUACCCGCAGAAGAAGCACCGGCUAACUCCGUGCCAGCAGCCGCGGUAAUACGGAGGGUGCAAGCGUUAAUCGGAAUUACUGGGCGUAAAGCGCACGCAGGCGGUCUGUCAAGUCGGAUGUGAAAUCCCCGGGCUCAACCGGGGAACUGCAUUCGAAACUGGCAGGCUAGAGUCUUGUAGAGGGGGGUAGAAUUCCAGGUGUAGCGGUGAAAUGCGUAGAGAUCUGGAGGAAUACCGGUGGCGAAGGCGGCCCCCUGGACAAAGACUGACGCUCAGGUGCGAAAGCGUGGGGAGCAAACAGGAUUAGAUACCCCGGUAGUC